CGCUGCCGCUGCCGGGCGGCACCAGCGAGGGAGCAAAAAACCCAUUUCAGGCACAAGGAGAAUGAGGGCACGGAGUCCCACCGGGCUCACGUGGGCACCGGCAUCGCCUUUCCGCAGGAGAGGCUGGAGCAUCCCCCGCCCGCCGAGCGCAGGGGCAGCUCCGCCGGGCAGCCCCGGCCGGCGCACCCAGGGGCGCGGCGAUGGCAGCACGGGCACCCCGCACGCCGGAGGAGGACGAGGACGAUGCCAAAACCGGAUCCUCCUAGCGUGGGAAAGGCGCGGGCAGGCGGCGUCGGCCGCGGGGAUU
rnacentral:lncRNA from 1 species